rnacentral:rRNA from 1 species
GACGAACGCUGGCGGCGUGCCUAAUACAUGCAAGUAGAACGCUGAAGGAGGAGCUUGCUCUUCUGGAUGAGUUGCGAACGGGUGAGUAACGCGUAGGUAACCUGCCUGGUAGCGGGGGAUAACUAUUGGAAACGAUAGCUAAUACCGCAUAAGAGUAGAUGUUGCAUGACAUUUGCUUAAAAGGUGCAAUUGCAUCACUACCAGAUGGACCUGCGUUGUAUUAGCUAGUUGGUGGGGUAACGGCUCACCAAGGCGACGAUACAUAGCCGACCUGAGAGGGUGAUCGGCCACACUGGGACUGAGACACGGCCCAGACUCCUACGGGAGGCAGCAGUAGGGAAUCUUCGGCAAUGGACGGAAGUCUGACCGAGCAACGCCGCGUGAGUGAAGAAGGUUUUCGGAUCGUAAAGCUCUGUUGUAAGAGAAGAACGAGUGUGAGAGUGGAAAGUUCACACUGUGACGUAUCUACCAGAAA